rnacentral:lncRNA from 1 species
CCGGCUUAUCCUUCAUGAUGAUGGGCUCAUGCAAAUCUUUGCAAUAAAGAUGAUCUUCCAUCAUCGGUUUCCAAUAAGAGAAGUUGUCCGUCGUGAGCUUGAACAUAUCACCUUCAAAGGUAACGGUGGCCUCCAUCUUCACUUCUUCAAAGAUAACCGGUAACUUAGCUCUGAUACCAGUUGUUGGGAAAAAUUAGCGGAUAAUAUUUUCUUCGAGAGGUUAAGAUGAAAUGUAGACGGUUUAUGUUUGAGAUAGCCUUCUUAUUUUUAGGAAAGGGAUUUUCUACUAAAGCUUUUGUUUGGAGAUAUCUUAGAAACUUUUUGAACUCUUUAUGAAAUGUUUUCUUUCUAUUGCUUUUCUUGAUUCUGGAUGAUUACAAG